AAUCAGUAGAGAUGUUUUGUUAAAAUGAGGAAUGCCAAUACAUGAUAUGCUAACAGGUUCCAUUCAAUUUCCGUUACAUACGUUGAGUUUAUAUUUCGAUCAUUUUGCUCUGAAGUAAAUUUCAAGCGAAAAUUGCUUUAGAAGUGACUAAAUCGAAGUUCUAAUGGAGCGAUGAGAUUUAUGUGCAAUGAUUGCUCAAGGAAUCAAUGCCGGAGAUGUUGAAGCUUUAGGUCGCAGGGCUCUACACCUGGCAACUUCACCUAGAAGGUAAAGCCAACUUCACCUCCGAAUUGUUGAAAAUGUAAAUGUUCAAGUUGGAUUUCCUUACUUUGAUUGUUGUUUGGCAGAACUUGACUGGAAUUAAAUGUUUAUCUGAGGCCAAAGUCGAUAAAAUUUGUAAAGUUGCUGAGAAGAUAGUGGUUAGUGCUCAAACUUGUCAUAAUCUGAAAUCCAAUAUUGUCUUCAUCAGGUAGUUAUUUUAGUUUCAUAGUUUGUUCUAUUCUCUACAAAGCAAUUCAUUAGGGUGUGUGUCAAUACAGCUUCUGGCACAAUGACAAGUCUGUGCAUUACAAUUUAUAUUUUGCACAAGUAUUGUGGCUAAUGCAAGAGGCUCAAGCACCUGUUCGGUAUUCACACUAGUUCAAUUUCUUCUUAAUAUCUAGAUGUAAUUAAAAUCCAUGUUAUGUUCUUGCUUGGAAAUCUGCAGAAGUAUCUUCUAGGAAGAUGUUAUUUUGUUGUAUUACUUUGAAACUCCAUUUAAGUUUAAUCUAAUGAAAUGCAGUUAAGGAAAUACCUUAUUGUUUAACUUAAAGACUUGGAAGGUGUUUUGGAAUUUAAUUAGAACUUAAAGUCAUUAAAGUGUUCCUGUCAUUAGUACUAUGAACCAUAUUAAGCUUUCAGUUAUCAAGUUGUUAAACUAAGGCCUUGUCAAGCUUUCGUUUUGUAAAGUUAUCAAUUGUACCAUCAAAUAAUGAAAUGUUUAUUUAUUUACAAUUAUCAUGUAUUCAGUGUGUUUGAUAAAUAAAUUAAGUUGUUAACCUUAUUUUUGGGGUCCUGCAAGAUAUGCUUUGAAGAAACACACCGCUAACAGAUAGUAUAUUGCUUCUCCCCAUCUACUGAGCGUAUUCCAGAUUGUAUAGCCGCCUCAUUGUCAAGGAAAUAUAAUGUAUUGCAAUCGUCUACUUGUUCCUGUGCACCAUUGAAUUUAGACUUCAGAGACACAAGGGUGAUGCGGCUGGUGAGCAUUGGAGUGUGUCCCCUGAUUUUAUGAUGGUGCUGCCAUUGUUAGCUUAACAUGAUUGAUGAGGACAACAACCACAAGCAUUCAGCAUUCCCCAAUGUAUAUCCAUAUAUGCCACUGCACAUUGCACUAGCACAAGUUAAGAAAUUGGCACUAGCUAGUAGAUUGCCACUUCUAGGGCUGGAUUCGGUACUAAACCGAUCCAUUUUUCCCCAAACCGUUGCCGAACCGACCUCCUCCGGUAUCAGCAUUUUCAAACCGCCACCGAUCCGAAUAAUCGGUAUACUGACAAGUCGGUAACCGAAAAUCUCGGUUUGGUAUCGGUAGGUAACCGGUAAUUACAAGCAAACUCCAUGAAUUGAGAAGAAGAUGGUUUGCAGAUCUGUUGGAGAAGAUGAUGAAAAAAACAGGGAAGAGAAAGAAGAAAGAGAAGAAUUGAGAGGGCAUGUUCUUCCUCCAUCGAAUUAGCAGAGGCUGUUGAGGCUCACGCUCCAAGCCUAGCGUCGUUACUUCAACGCCGAUCCCCACCACUCUGACCCAGCUCCGUCAUCGAGUAUAACGCCAGUGAAGGAACAAAAAAAAUAUACAGAUCGAAGAACUAACAAUCCAUGGUGAAAACGGGAUUUUGGUGGUUUGGGUUUUGAUUUAUUUGUAAGAGUUGAAAUGGUUGCUUGUGUGAUUCUGGAAUUGUUGCUGGUUUCCAGAAAGAAAUUCUGGAAUGAGAGAGAAGACAAUGCUGGAACGAUGGGUUUUCGCUUUUCAUUUUGGGUUUUUACUUCUAUCGCUUAAGAAACUAAUAAAUAUAAAAUUUGUAGACAAUAUGCUGACAACAACCCGUAGUGCAGUGGUUGGGAUUAGAAACUCUAUCUAUGAGAAGAGGAGUUCGAGUCGCGCCUUCUACCAAUUUUCAUUUUAUAUAUAUAUUGUGUAAGACGCUGAUAAAUAUAAAAUAUGUACAUAUAGUAAUGAGAGCAACUCGUGGUCCAGUGGUUGGGAUCAAAGUCUCUGUAUGAGGGAAAAGGGGUUCGAAUCCCGCCUUCGACAAAUCAUUUUGUAUAUAUACUCGGUAUGGUGUAUACUCGGUCGGUACGGUAUACCGACGGUAUGCUAUACACCAUACCGUAGCCGAGCCGAAGGGAGCCAUACGGUACGGCUGAGCUGAGCCGAAAGUCGGUAGGCCGAGAUUUCGGCCCAAAUCGGUUCGGGCCGGUUCGAAAAUCGGCUGGUUCGGUUGCUUCGGCCCAAAAUGCCAG